rnacentral:lncRNA from 1 species
UUUGCACUUUCAUUCCAGGAUAGGUUAGCCUACUCUUUAUCUUUAUGCAGUAAACAGAGAAACUAUCCAUCCAUCUCUAAUGGAAAACAGAAUAUACUGGAUGUUUUACCAUGAAUAAUGCCAGAAUUUGUACACGGAUAAGCUUUGUCCAGGGGGACAGAAUGGUUUUCUUGAAAUUGCAGCAGAAAGAGUAAACAUUUUAUUAGAAGUCUGAACAUUUUAUUAGAAGUCUGAACUCAGUUCAGUACCCUUAAACACGAGACAGUCAAAUUUCUGAUUAGAGAUAACAAGGCGGAUUUGAGCUCAUGAGAGUCGAGAAUUUAUUCAUUUCUAUCUCGUGAAAACUACCACACUAAACGC